GUUUACAUUAAUGCACGUGUUGACGUUUGUGAGUGUUUCAAUUAGCGAUUUGGAUUAUCUAUAAGAUGGGAUAACCUAUAAUAACCGUGGGUGCCGGCAGUCCGGAGUGUUCUACUUGCCCCGACUUCUUCAAUCAAAUACCUGAACGUGAGCAAACCUGGCGAGUACAAACUGUUGCCAAGUCUUAAACUAAAAUUGUCUGUAUUCUGUGGCCCACUGUGCCAAACUCGCUGUGAGAGUCACGCUUCAAUAUACCGAUUUCCAAAUCGCGACCAAUAAGGAAAAAUUGCGGAGUGGACCAUCCCAUUUGAAGGCAUGAACUAGGAAGCAAUAUAAUCAUCUGCCAGUUGGGAGGAAAAAGAUAUUUCUGUAAAAGGUUUCUGCUAAACAGUGGGCCAGGCCUAUGGAGUGCAGGAUUAACAAACGUGGUGCUUCCAAAGAUUGAUAAGGGUUUAAUUUAUUGUCAUCUUUUAUCAGUGCUGAAAGAGCACAGGGAGAGUAAGCUAUGAAGAAAUUAAUUAGUACUUGGGUACAGUAAUUCAAUAAAUAUUUAUAUGGUCAAAAUACAAUAUGUGUCAAGUCGUGUCAAGUCGUGUCAAGAAAAAUGCAAGCUCCUGGCAGUCGGGUUCUUCGUUUUACAAGACCAUCUUUGCUUCACAGAAUGGCAUUAUUCAGUAGCAUUGCUGAGAAGAGGUCCCUCAUAAGUGCAUAAAGAUUCUUUAACUACAGGUUUAGUGCUUCAGAAUCAAAAUGAAGAUACUCAGAACCAUCAGAUAAAGCAGGCUACUUUGAUGAUAUUAUCACUGAACAAAAACUACAGCAAGCCUUGUUGACAAAACUAGUUUGUCAAGAAGUUAGAAAUACCAGGUGAAUUCAACUGUAUGCCAAUUGUCACACCAUAAAACUACUUUAAUCGUCCUGUUAGAUUCGAGAUGAUGGCAGACAAGGUCAAUUUAUAGUAGUGUGUAUCACCAUAUCUCAUAGCAUAGAUAAAUUAUGCAACAAGUGGUUUCAUGGAUAAUAUUGUCUUUGCAAUCAAAGAAUUUUGAACAAGGGUAAGUUUCCUCCUUUAGCAAGUACCAUAUUUGAUGGCUUUGGUCAAUGUGGAAGGACCAGUUACCGAACAUGAGAAAAUUUAGAUUAUACACGUAGUUUUCCUUCCGAAGAAUUAAAACUAUUGCAGGAAUCUGUAUGGGUGCACAGCUAGUUAUUGAUAUUGAUAUGAUGUUAAAAUCACAAGAUCAAGCACAUAAAGAAAACUUCAAAAUGCUAGGAAUCAAGCAUUGACCCUCUGUGUAAUGCCUCCAUCUCAUUUUCAUCAAUGUUCUUUUUAGUAAUAUAUCAUUCACACAUUGCUAAGCAGUUACAACACUACUAUUUCCGAAGUUAAUGAUUAAACAGGUUGAAGAGGUUCUGUAGCUUAAUCAAAAUGCUUAAUGAUCUACAGCCUUGGAAGCAAUAGGGCCUUACAUGCACUCAGUAAUAUGCUCCUGCUACACUAAUGCAAAGAACAAAUGCUAGAUAAUGAGUGAAGACAUUGGCUAGUGUACCAAAAAAAAUUAAGUGUCAAAAGUAGCAAAGCCAAGACAAACAGCUGCUUAUCACAGUAAUCAGGGAAGCUAGAAAUGCAUGAGAAAGGAAGUGACCGAGGGUUGCUUCAGGCAGAUUACCUACUCACAGAAGAGUCUGAAGAAGUGGUGGUUGAAAUGUUUAAAAGGUGAAAGUGGAAUGGAAAGCAAAGGAUUGAAAAGCAAUAAAAAAAAUUAUGGCAACUGGAAAGGCUGCAAAGGAAGUAAAACCAGGUUACUGUAGAAAAGAUCUGUCUGGAAACUCUACUGGGGACUGAAAAUAACAUGUAAUCCAGAGCACCCCUUGUGAUACAGUACAGUAUACACAGAGCAAGAGAUUUUGGAAGACGCGUACAACAUCAAAUUGAUCAAUGAGGAAAGGGUGAAUUCUGAUGUGUUGUGACAGAUGGGGAGGUCUGAAGUAGUAGAGCAUUGCCCCAUUAACUGAAGCCAAGAUGUACGAGUGGGCACCAGAGGCAAGAAAUACCUGCAGACAGGGGCACUGACAGAAAAUAGAAAUCAAUCUUGCAGAAGUGUUACCAUAAAAUGAUAAACUUCAUGGCCAACAUGCUCAAGAAGCUGUUAUUUAAAAAUCCUGGAAAAAGAGGCUAGAUGAAGAACAAACUUUGAUGGGAGGUUAAGAAAAGUUUACGUGAUGCAGAAGAAGAAAAAAAAAAUAAGAUAAA